rnacentral:rRNA from 1 species
AUUGAACGCUGGCGGCAUGCUUUACACAUGCAAGUCGAACGGUAACAGGCCUUCGGGUGCUGACGAGUGGCGCACGGGUGAGUAAUGCAUCGGAACGUACCCAGAGGUGGGGGAUAACGCAGCGAAAGCUGUGCUAAUACCGCAUGUGAUCUGAGGAUGAAAUCGGGGGACCGAGCAGCAAUGUUUGGCCUCGCGCCUUUGGAGCGGCCGAUGUCGGAUUAGCUAGUUGGUGGGGUAAAGGCCUACCAAGGCGACGAUCCGUAGCUGGUCUGAGAGGACGACCAGCCACACUGGGACUGAGACACGGCCCAGACUCCUACGGGAGGCAGCAGUGGGGAAUUUUGGACAAUGGGCGCAAGCCUGAUCCAGCAAUGCCGCGUGCGGGAAGAAGGCCUUCGGGUUGUAAACCGCUUUUGGCAGGAACGAAACGGUGUCCGCUAAUACCGGGCGCUAAUGACGGUACCUGCAGAAUAAGCACCGGCUAACUACGUG